rnacentral:rRNA from 1 species
CGGGGUGCACCAGGCGCGAAAACUCCACACUGUACGACAGUACGAUGGGGUUAUCUCGAGUGCAGUCCGAUAAGGGCUGCUUUUCCAUAGAGUAAUAUCCUGUGGGAAUAAGAGGGGGGCAAGACUGGUGUCAGCCGCCGCGGUAACACCAGCCCCUCGAGUGGUGGGGACUAUUAUUUGGUCUAAAGCGUCCGUAGCUGGCUGUAUCCGUCCCCCGUUAAAUCCAGCGUCCUAAGCGUUGGACUGCGGGUGAUACCAUACAGCUAGAGGGUGGGAUAGGUGAGCGGUAUUUCUGGGGUAGGGGCGAAAUCCUUUGAUCCCAGGAGGACCACCAGUGGCGAAGGCUGCUCACUAGAACACGCCUGACGGUCAGGGACGAAAGCUGGGGCAGCGAACCGGAUUAGAUACCCGGGUAGUCCCAGCUGUAAACGAUGCCAGCUAGGUGUUGGGUCGGCCACGCGCCGCCCCAGUGCCGCAGGGAAGCCGUUAAGCUGGCCACCUGGGGAGUACGGCCGCAAGGCUGAAACUUAAAGGAAUUGGCGGGGGAGCAC